AUUGAACGCUGGCGGCAGGCCUAACACAUGCAAGUCGAACGAGUGGCGGACGGGUGAGUAAUGUCUGGGAAACUGCCUGAUGGAGGGGGAUAACUACUGGAAACGGUAGUUAAUACCGCAUACCAUCGGAUGUGCCCAGAUGGGAUUAGCUAGUAGGUGGGGUAAAGGCUCCCCUAGGCGACGAUCCCUAGCUGGUCUGCGAGGAUGACCAGCCAGACUGGAACUGAGGCACGGUCCAGACGCCUACGGGAGGCAGCAGUGGGGAAUAGUGCACAAUGGGCGCAAGCCUGAUGCAGCCAUGCCGCGUGUAUGAAGAAGGCCUGCGGGUUUUAAAGUACUUUCAGCGGGGAGGCGUUACCCGCAGAAGAAGCACCGGCUAACUCCGUGCCAGCCGCCGCGGUAAUUC
rnacentral:rRNA from 1 species